GGGUAAAAAUAUUAUUUGGAUUUAAUUGAAAUUGAUUUUGGAAAAAAUGGGUGAAAAUUUGGAUUUUGGGGGUAUUUUUGAAAAGAAAAUCAGAAACCGGGGGUCAAAACGUAAUUUAGAAAAGUUGUGCCACGUCAGCGGCCCGGUCAGCAGCCCCGCCCAACCAGGACGCGCCGCGUAGCAAAGACACGCUGACCAGGGGACGGGCCACGGGAGCGAUAUGCGUGCGCGCGAUCGG
rnacentral:lncRNA from 1 species